rnacentral:ncRNA from 1 species
AGAGUAAGUUGACAGGCGCCGCGCGCAGCAAACUGCGCGCCCAGUGCCGGCUGAACGGGGAGUUGUCAGCCGGACGAAUGGAGUAUCCUGCGGUCUGUCUGCUGCAUCCCGCUG